GAUGAACGCUGGCGGCGUGCUUAACACAUGCAAGUCGAACGGAAAGGCCGAAGCUUGCAUCGGUACUCGAGUGGCGAACGGGUGAGUAACACGUGGGUGAUCUGCCCUGUACUUCGGGAUAAGCUUGGGAAACUGGGUCUAAUACCGGAUAUGACGAUCUCUUGGAUGGGGUUGUGGAAAGCUUUUGCGGUAUGGGAUGAGCUCGCGGCCUAUCAGCUUGUUGGUGGGGUAAUGGCCUACCAAGGCGUCGACGGGUAGCCGGCCUGAGAGGGUGUACGGCCACAUUGGGACUGAGAUACGGCCCAGACUCCUACGGGAGGCAGCAGUGGGGAAUAUUGCACAAUGGGCGCAAGCCUGAUGCAGCGACGCCGCGUGGGGGAUGACGGCCUUCGGGUUGUAAACUCCUUUCGCAAUCGACGAAGCCUUUUGGUGACGGUAGGUUGAGAAGAAGCACCGGCUAACUACGUG
rnacentral:rRNA from 1 species